GGGGCGGUGGUCUAGCUUGGUUUAGGAUACCAGCUUCGGGAGCUGGAGGCCCGGGGUUCAAAUCCCCGCCGCCCCA
rnacentral:tRNA from 1 species